CAACUCCCACAUUACCUCUUUCAGAAUGUGGUGUUGCCACUAUACCUUCACCAUGGGAAUCCUAUUGUUGUGCAAAACCUUGUCAGUCUAAUUAAGUAUUUUUGCGGGAAGCUCCUUGUAUGUCAUAUCAGCUUAAACCUGCAUCUCUUGAUGAUAAAUGAUGUGAGAAGGGUCAAGGUUGUACUUUUUUAGUAUAGAGACAUGAAAAACAUCAUGUAGACCCCUAAACUCUUAGGACAAAGUAAGGCAGUACGCCACGGGUCCAACACACUCCAUGAUCUAAAAAGGUCCCACGUAAUAGGGGCUCAACUUUUCCUUCUUACUAAAUAGUAUUUUCUCCUUGUAAGGGAAGAUCCUAAGGAAGACUUGAUCGCCAAUUACAAAUUCCAAAGGUCUUCUACAGUUGUCUAUGUAGCUUUUCUGGAUACUCUAGGCAGUGGCUAAGUU
rnacentral:lncRNA from 1 species